AAAUCAUGUGAUGAGAAAUAAAAAAAAAAAAAAAACUGCAACAAUAUGAUUGGAUUCAUUCCAUGAUUCCUUGUAUUUAAGUCUCUGAUGAUU